GUUCUGGAUCCGCCGGGCCUGAACUCUAGGGUUCAAAACACUGGUUUGACACCGUUGUGAAUCUGAUUGAGAAGAAAAUCGUACAUGGACACAAUUUAAAAAGUGUUUUUUGUUCGAUCUAGGCAUUCUUUACCUCUGCACACGGGGCUGGGUGUUCAGUAAGCAUCGAUCACGAUAGGGAGGUUCGUUCUGUUAGUCUAUUCACAUUAAACACACAUGCACACACUACUGCGGCGAACAGAAAGUGGAUUGGGGAUGUGGUCAUAUGUAGAAAGUUCAACAUUGUUUUGUUUUGUUCUUUUAGACCAAAAAGUGUUACAAUCACACCUCCACCUCAAAUAAGAUGAUUCAAAAAUAUAUAAAAACAAAGACGUUUUCUUGUUUGCACAUGUUCUCUUCCCAAAGGUUUUCUAUUGAUUUGCAUCUGUGUUUUUGUUUUUAAAAUUCUUUUCAGGAGCCUGUUUCAGUAACGCGUCCCUGUGACCCCGGACCAUAAGAGUAUUUUAUUUAAAAAUGAAGACUGAUGCUUCGUAAAGCUAAAUAAAUGCGCUUUUCAUUGAUGCAUGCUUUGACAGGAUAACAUUUGGCCAAGAUACAACUAUUUGAAUAUCUAGAAUCUGAGGGUUUUUUGAGAAAAUCGCCUUUAAAGUUGCCCUGAUCAUGCUUGUAAUAAUGCGCAUAAGUUUUACUUUAUCUUCAUGGAACAAGAUAUUUAUAUAUAUUUUAUCAUUUUGACCCAUAUAAUGUACUCGCUACAUGCUACUUAUGACUGGUUUUGUGUUCCAGGAUCGCAUAUGCUUUGUUUCAGCAUUUAUAUGGUGCAGACGGCAUUUCAAAUAACCUCAUAUUUUGCUGAACAGUGUGCAUUUUCUUAAUUGCACGUCUUCGUGAUUAUAACCUAAAGCGAAAAAGACAAUAACUUGCCCUGUGUCUGCAUCGUUCUUUUCUUUUGCUUUGCUUGACAUGUAUUGUCGGUUCUUUCGUUCAACACUAAGGUCAGACUCGGACCGUGUCGAGUUGCUCAGACGAGCAACAAACUCUUUUAAUAACUUCGCAGAAGAAACCGAUUAAUUUCUGUCAGAAGAAUUUCUUAUUUACUUAAAAGCGACUCAUGUGUGAGCCAUUGAUUGCACCGAAUGGAUGUCACAUGUUGAAUGUUGAAGUCCGAUCCAGAACAUGAAGUCUUCGCUUCUGCUGUGCAUCUCAAUGCAUCUUCAUUUAAAGACAGUUAACUUACAAAAACGAAGGUACACUUCCGCCCCACGGACAAUUGCACAUGCAGUACACACAAUGUCAAAAACGUGGAAUCUUCACAGUAAAAUAAGCAGUGUAAAAAUGCAGUGUUAAAUGUUAUUAAUUCUAAAAGAGUUAAAUUAAUAACCAACAGUGUUAAUAAUGUUCUUUUGUAGUGUAGUUGCAGGGGUGCUACGUGGUGUAAUUAUAUUUUUACACCUGAAGUGCAAAACCCCCGCCAAGUUAUCUUUGCCCCUCCCCUUUUACCCGUCGUGAAGACGAAAACGCCAUUUUAUCCACAUGCCAGCUGCAAGGAAUGAAGAUGCUCGUCAAAGUUAAGUUCAGAAGUGAACAGAAGUAUGUGAAAGUUUCUCACAGCGAUUUGAAACUUUCCGAUUUUCUGGAUGAAGCCUUAGUGAAGUUCGGCAUCAGUGUCUCUAGUAGGCCCGAGGCCCGUCUUUACGACGAGUCUGGCACUGAAAUAGACGAGGAC